UACAGAGCUAAGCAUGUUGUUGGUACUAAACUCUACAUAAACUCUAAUGCUUUGUUAUACUCCUGAGCCUUGCCAGAUUCACUCCAGCUUGGGAUGUGCUGAUGCCAGGUGCCUCAUAGGAAAAUCUGUUUAUAGAUAUCCAUGAAACAUAAAAAAUUGGGUAUGUAUAUAUAGAGCUCCUGUUUUGGAGUUUAUCUUUGGAUGUUUAUUUUUAGCAAUUUGAGUUCUAUGUAGAUGCCCAAAAAUUGGGGGUGGGACCAAAAGUUGGUCCUUCUUUGUAUAUACUGUAAUGCAUAAUCUCUUUAUUCUUCCUAGUGUGAUUUAAUGUAAUACUAUUUCAGAUAGUGCUAUCUGAAGUGCACUAAGGAACCUUUUAUGUACCCCAGCAGGGUCUGUGUGGACCUAUUAAUACACAACAUAUGUACUUUAGAAAUCACACAGCUGUAGUCUGCAUUACUGCUGUGUUGAUCAGCCCUUGGACACAAGUUAGCCAUAUCCAGUAUUGAUUGGAUAAAUACUGUUUUUUUUUUCUUUUUGGAGCAGGGGUUUUAUUGGUUAAAAUGAAAAAUCAGAAACUCUAGCUAUAUUACCACAAAUGUUGUUCCAUGUUUCAUGACAUCUUUAUAUCAGAUUGUAAAGAGUCAAAAUCAAAAACUGUAAUUGCAACCAUCUUCGAUGGGCUUAUAUGGUAGUCCAAUGUAUGUUGACAUACCCAUUCCAUUUAACUGUCUUUUUUAAAACACAAAAAUCAACUGUGACCUUCAAAAUACUGAAAACAACAUCCUUUAACAAGUAGCAUUCAUAGAGGUUGUGGAUCACAGAAAGUCAUUCUUUGAUAAGCAGGGGCAUACCUCUUUUACGUAGGGAAUUAUGAAAAAAGUGAACGCAUAUCAGAGAUCAUUUAGUUCUUUGCAGUAAGACUUCCAGAAUGGUGCUACAGAAGCUUUUGCCUCUAGAGCUAGUUCCUGAAGUCCUCACCCAUUGGUUCUAGAAGUUGGGCAGGCACUGCUUAUUUAGCAGUGAUGCUUGUAGCCUGACCUUGAGAAAUAGAUUUUUUUGCAAUAUGUCCAGCCUCUACUAGCUAUACUUGAGUAUUCUUAUCAGAUUCUCCUUAGGAAGAAAUAAUCUUAAUCUACUCAUUUAGUAUUUGCACAACUACAGUAAACAAAUGCUUAACUUUAGAAAUAUUGUACAUCUAUUUUAAUAAAAUAUUUUUAUACCAAAAGUGUUAAUCUAGACAUUAGCAGGUCUAGUUUUAUUUUUUUUAAACAGCAGCACUGAAUGUUUUCCUGUUUACUUUUAUAGUUUCAUUUGGAUUUAUAUCAGUGUAAUAGCAGAUUAGUGUGACUGCUUCUAAACUAAACCUAGGUUAAAGUUCAUGGGUGAGAUUAAAUUUUUUUAAAAGUAGGCUAAAACAUUUACAGUAAAAGCCUAGUAAAUCUCUCCUCUCUCUGGUAAAAGGUCUUAUAUAGAAAAUGACAAUCCUCCCACCACUGGAGGCUGGCCACAAGAACCUCCAGCCACUAAUCUACUCCGCAGGCUACAGCUGUAUCUGCACUUUUGUAACAGGGACAGUAGAUCUGCACAGAUCCAUUGGGUCACAGCAGAGCAUGGCUCUAAGAGUUAAGGAUGUCCUGCUUCUGCCUCAUGGGCAUUUUCUUCCCCUCCUUCCCCCCAAAAGCAGCAGAGCUGUUGUGGUUCUUCUGCAUUAUGGACUUGAAAAUAUUACCCUAAAGUUAGCAAGUUUUUGUGUACCAAUUGUGAUCACAUCCACGUGGCUUGUCUUAAGGGAGCUCAAAGCUUUAAUUUUGAAUGGUGUGGUUUGGGGAAGGUAAGUUCUCCUAAAAUCCAGUAUUAGGCGGUAAACAGGGUUUUAGGUUAAAGGAGACCUGCAGAGGAAAAACAGGUUUGGGUCCUCUUAAUUAUAUAAGAAAUCUUCUGAAGUCCCCAUAUAGAAAUUUAACCUUUUUCUUUUAAGCAAGAAGCAACUAGCCUGUGCCAAGUCUAGCUCAGAAGAAUCUGCUAAACUGUUCUGUGCAUAUCAUUUCCUUAGGGCUACUUCUCGCUUCAGCCAUAGUAUAAUAAACUUUAUAAGCUAACUACCUUAAA